GACGUAGGGCGCGAGCGUUGUCCGGAUUUAUUGGGCGUAAAGAGCUCGUAGGCGGCUUGUUGCGUCGACUGUGAAAACCUGCGGCUCAACCGUGUGGUCUGCAGUCGAUACGGGCAGGCUGGAGUUCGGUAGGGGAGACUGGAAUUCCUGGUGUAGCGGUGAAAUGACGCAGAUAUCAGGAGGAACACCGGUGGCGAAGGCGGUUCUCUGGGAAUGUUCUGACGCUGAGGAGCGAAAGUGUGGGGGAGCGAACAGG
rnacentral:rRNA from 1 species